UACGUAGGGACCAAGCGUUGUUCGGAUUUACUGGGCGUAAAGGGCGCGUAGGCGGCAAUUCAAGUCAUCUGUGAAAUCUCCGGGCUUAACUCGGAACGGUCAGAUGAUACUGCUUUGCUAGAGUACAGAAGGGGCAAUCGGAAUUCUUGGUGUAGCGGUGAAAUGCGUAGAUAUCAAGAGGAACACCUGAGGUGAAGACGGGUUGCUGGGCUGAUACUGACGUGAGGCGCGAAAGCUAGGGUAGCAAACGGG
rnacentral:rRNA from 1 species